rnacentral:rRNA from 1 species
GACGAACGCUGGCGGCGUGCCUAAUACAUGCAAGUCGAACGCAGUGGGGACGGGUGAGUAACACGUGGGUAACCUCCCAUCAGAGGGGAUAACACUUGGAAACAGGUGCUAAACCGAUACUGAUGGAUGAACCCGCGGUGCAUUGGCUAGUUGUUGAGGUAACGGCUCACAAAGGCCAAGAUGCAUAGCCGACCAGGGAGUGUGAUCGGCCACACUGGGACUGAGACACGGCCCAGACUCCUGCGGGAGGCAGCAGUAGGGAAUCUUCGGCUAUGGACGAAAGUCUGACCGAGCAAAGCCGCGUGAGUGAAGAAGUUUUUCGGAUCGUAAAGCUCUGUUGUUAGAGAAGCGGUAUCUAACCAGAAAGCCAGGGCUAACUACAUGACAGCAGCCGCGGUAAUAC